AGAGUUUGAUCCUGGCUCAGGACGAACGCUGGCGGCGUGCCUUAGGCMUGCAGUGGACGAACCCCUUCGGGGGUAAGUCGCGAACGGCUGAGUAACACGUAGGAACCUACCCCUUGGCGGAGGAUACCCCCGCGAAAGCGGGAUUAAUACUGCAUAAUCUCUACGGAGCAAAGGGCGUAACUGCCCACCGAGGGAGGGGCCUGCGGCCUAUCAGCUUGUUGGUAAGGUAAUGGCUUACCAAGGCUAUGACGGGUAGGGGGCGUGAGAGCGUGUUCCCCCAGAGUGGGACUGAGACACGGCCCACACACCUACGGGUGGCAGCAACCGGGAAUUGUGCGCAAUGGACGAAAGUCUGACGCCGCGACGCCGCGUGAGGGAUGAAGGCCCAUGGGUCGUAAACCUCUUUUGCCAAAAGGGAGACCUUUUGGAGAAUAAGCACCCGCUAACUACGUGCCAGCAGCUGCGGUAAUACGUAGGGUGCAAGCGUUGUCCGGAUUUACUGGGCGUAAAGCGUCUCGUAGGCGGUCUGAUAAGUCGUGCUUCAAAGCCCAGGGCUUAACCUUGGAGAGGGGCACGAUACUGUUAGACUUGAAAGGCUUCGGGGCUACUGGAACUUAUCAUGUAGGGGUGAAAUCCGUUGAUAUGAUAAGGAACACCGAGGGCGAAGGCAGGUAGCUAGGAGCAUUUUGACGCUGAGGAACGAAAGCUAGGGGAGCGAAAGGGAUUAGAGACCCCUGUAGUCCUAGCCGUAAACGAUGCUCGCUAGGGAUGUGCUCUUUUAGAGUGCGUCUCGUAAGCUAACGCGUUAAGCGAGCCGCCUGGGGAGUACGAUCGCAAGAUUAAAACUCAAAGGAAUUGACGGGGACCUGCACAACCAGUGGAGCAUGUGGUUUAAUUCGAGACGAACCGAAGAACCUUACCUGGGUUUGACAUCCCGCCUGCAGCCCCCGAGAGAUCGGGGAGGCCUUAGAGGGUGGCGGGACAGGUGCUGCAUGGCUGUCGUCAGCUCGUGUCGUGAGGUG
rnacentral:rRNA from 1 species